UACGAAGGGUGCAAACGUUGCUCGGAAUCAUUGGGCGUAAAGCGCACGUAGGCGGCUUCGCAAGUCGGAUGUGAAAUCCCUCGGCUCAACCAAGGACGUGCAUCCGAAACUGCAGAGCUUGAGUACAGAAGAGGAUCGCGGAAUUCCCGGUGUAGAGGUGAAAUUCGUAGAUAUCGGGAGGAACACCAGUGGCGAAGGCGGCGAUCUGGGCUGAUACUGACGCUGAGGUGCGAAAGCGUGGGGAGCAAGCAGG
rnacentral:rRNA from 1 species